rnacentral:other from 2 species
CGUUCUCUGCCGUGUUCGACAGCUGGCAAAACAUUCACCUUGUCCCUUAAAAACGACACCGGGGAUGCGACGACGCCGGGUGUGCAUGUCCGCCUUCGCAGCGGAAAGCCCGAUGGUUUCCCAGCUUCCCCACUUGAACCCCGGGUUCAAGGUCGUUUCGCCGCAUCGGCAUGGCGGAGAACCU